GGGGAGUACGGUCGCAAGACCGGAACUCAAAGGAAUUGACGGGGGCCUGCACAAGCGGUGGAGCAUGUGGUUUAAUUUGAUACAACGCGCAAAACCAUACCGACCCUUGACAUAUGAACAACAAAACAUGUCCUUAACAGGAUGGUACUGACUUUCAUACAGGUGCUGCAUGGCUGUCGUCAGCUCAUGUAGUGAGAUGUUUGGUCAAGUCCUAUAACGAGUGAAACCCUCGUUUUGUGUUGCUGAGACAUGCGCCUAAGGAGAAAUUGCCACCGAGUGAUGUGCCAACGCUACUACUUGAUUGUGUGCCAGCACGUAGCUGUGCUUUCAGCAAGAAUUUCAUCAUUGGGAGCCGGUGCCUUUCGAAGCACUUUCACGUGUGAACCAAAGUCGUCUUGCCGAAGACCCACGGAGACCUACCUAUAGUGACAUCAAAGUACCAAUGAGCAUGGAGGUUUGGUUGAAAUUGGUUAUGAUGAUGUCGAGUUGGCGGCGGAGGAAGACUCGGCAUGAAGGCCAGAAAAUGGUGUGGAACAUAGUGGUAAUAGUACGCGCCCCGCUCUAAAACAAAGAAAAAGGUGCUUGCUGCACUCACGAGGGACUGCCAGUGAGAUACUGGAGGAAGGUGGGGAUGACGUCAAGUCCGCAUGGCCCUUCUGGGUUGGGCCACACACAUGCUACAAAUGCAAUGACAAUGGGAAGCAAGGCUGUAAGGCGGAGCAAAUCUGGAAAGAUUGCCUCAGUUUGGAUUGUUCUCUGCAACUCGGGAACAUGAACUUGAAAUCGCUAGUAACCGCGGAUCAGCAUGCCGCGGUGAAUAUGUACCCGGGCCCUGUACACACCGCCCAUCACACCCUAGGAAUUGGUUUCGCCCGAAGCAUCGGACCAAUGAUCACCCAUGACUUCUGUGUACCACUAGUGCCACAAAGGCCUUUGGUGAUCUUAUUGGCGCAUACCAUGGUGCGGUCUUUGACUGGGGUGAAGUCAUAACAAGGUAGCCGUAGGGGAACCUAUGGCUG
rnacentral:rRNA from 1 species